UAUAAUGCAGUCGAGCGGACAGAUGGGAGCUUGCUCCCUGAUGUCAGCGGCGGACGGGUGAGUAACACGUGGGUAACCUGCCUGUAAGACUGGGAUAACUCCGGGAAACCGGGGCUAAUACCGGAUGCUUGAUUGAACCGCAUGGUUCAAUUAUAAAAGGUGGCUUUUAGCUACCACUUACAGAUGGACCCGCGGCGCAUUAGCUAGUUGGUGAGGUAACGGCUCACCAAGGCAACGAUGCGUAGCCGACCUGAGAGGGUGAUCGGCCACACUGGGACUGAGACACGGCCCAAACUCCUACGGGAGGCAGCAGUAGGGAAUCUUCCGCAAUGGACGAAAGUCUGACGGAGCAACGCCGCGUGAGUGAUGAAGGUUUUCGGAUCGUAAAACUCUGUUGUUAGGGAAGAACAAGUACCGUUCGAAUAGGGCGGUACCUUGACGGUACCUAACCAGAAAGCCACGGCUAACUACGUGCCAGCAGCCGCGGUAAUACGUAGGUGGCAAGCGUUGUCCGGAAUUAUUGGGCGUAAAGCGCGCGCAGGCGGUUUCUUAAGUCUGAUGUGAAAGCCCCCGGCUCAACCGGGGAGGGUCAUUGGAAACUGGGGAACUUGAGUGCAGAAGAGGAGAGUGGAAUUCCACGUGUAGCGGUGAAAUGCGUAGAGAUGUGGAGGAACACCAGUGGCGAAGGCGACUCUCUGGUCUGUAACUGACGCUAAGGCGCGAAAGCGUGGGGAGCGAACAGGAUUAGAUACCCUGGUAGUCCACGCCGUAAACGAUGAGUGCUAAGUGUUAGAGGGUUUCCGCCCUUUAGUGCUGCAGCAAACGCAUUAAGCACUCCGCCUGGGGAGUACGGUCGCAAGACUGAAACUCAAAGGAAUUGACGGGGGCCCGCACAAGCGGUGGAGCAUGUGGUUUAAUUCGAAGCAACAAGA
rnacentral:rRNA from 1 species